AUUGAACGCUGGCGGCAGGCCUAACACAUGCAAGUCGAACGAGGGGCGGAGGGGAGAGAAAUGUAGGGGAAACGGCCUGAAGGGGGGGGAUAACUACUGGAAACGGUGGCUAAAACCGCAUACCAUCAGAGGGGGCCAGAUGGGAGUAGCUAGUGGGUGGGGUAACGGCUCACCAAGGCGACGAUCCCUAGCUGGUCUGAGAGGAUGACCAGCCACACUGGACCUGAGACCCGGUCCAGACUCCUACGGGAGGCAGCAGUGGGGAAUCUUGGCCAAUGGGGGCAAGCCUGAUGCAGCCAUCCCGCGUGUAUGAAGAAGGCCUUCGGGUUUUAAAGUACUUUCAGCGGGGAGGCGUUACCCGCAGAAGAAGCACCGGCUAACUCCGUGCCAGCAGCCGCGAUAAUUC
rnacentral:rRNA from 1 species